CCCUACGGGGCGCAGCAGUCGCGAAAACUUUGCAAUACACGAAAGUGUGACAAGGCUAUCCCGAGUGCCAUCCGCUGAGAAGGCUUUUACCCAGUAUAAAUAGCUGGGAGAAUAAGGAGAGGGCAAGUCUGGUGUCAGCCGCCGCGGUAAUACCAGCUCUCCGAGUAGUGUGGAUGUUUAUUGGGCAUAAAGCAUCCGUAGCUUGCUAAAUAAGUCCCUGUUAAAUCCACCGAUUCAAUCGUUGGAUUGCGGGGGAUACUGUUUGGCUAGGGGACGGGAGAGGCCGACGGUAUUUCCGGGGUAGGGGUGAAAUCCUAUAAUCCCGGGAGGACCACCAGUGGCGAAGGCUGUCGGCUAGAACGCGCCCGACGGUGAGGGAUGAAAGCUGGGGGAGCGAACCGGAUUAGAUACCCGGGUAGUCCCAGCUGUAAACGAUGCAGGCUAGGUGUUUGGGCGGCUACGAGCCGCUCUAGUGCCGCAGGGAAGCUGUUAAGCCUGCCGCCUGGGGAGUACGGCCGCAAGGCUGAAACUUAAAGGAAUUGGCGGGGGAGCACCACAAGGGGUGAAGCUUGCGGUUUAAUUGGAGUCAACGCCGGAAAUCUCACCGGGAGCGACAGCAGUAUGAAGGCCAGAUUAAAGGUCUUGCUAGACGAGCUGAGAGGAGGUGCAUGGCCGUCGCCAGUUCGUGCCGUGAGGUGUCCUGUUAAGUCAGGCAACGAUCGAGACCCGCGUUCUCUGUUGCUACUGGCUUUGAGCCAGGCACACUGAGGAGACCGCCGCUGAUAAAGCGGAGGAAGGAGCGGGCCACGGCAGGUCAGUAUGCCCCGAAUCUCCCGGGCCACACGCGAGCUGCAAUGGCAGGUACAAUGGGUUCCGACCUCGUAAGGGGAAGGCAAUCUCGAAAGCCUGCCGUAGUUGGGAUCGAGGGUUGUAACUCAUCCUCGUGAACAUGGAAUCCCUAGUAAUCGCGUGUCACUAGCGCGCGGUGAAUACGUCCCUGCUCCUUGCACACACCGCCCGUCGUUCCACCCGAGUGACUCUUGGGUGAGGCGUGGUCUUACUUGGCUGCGUCGAA
rnacentral:rRNA from 1 species